rnacentral:lncRNA from 13 species
CCCCUCGGGUUGCGGGCCGCGCGCUCCGUGCGCGCGGGGUUCCCUCCGCGUCCCACUGAAGCCUGGGGACGGAGGUCGCGACCGGCAGACUGGGGUCCUGUCCUGCCGUCACCUUGUCUCCCUCGCGUGCUCCCUCCCGCCUCGCGUCCCUGCUCACCAGCCUCCCCCUCCUCUCUCCCGCCUCCCUAACACUGAGCUUUGAUUCUGUUUUUCAGGGGCGCGUUCUGGGGUCUCUGCGCAAGACCAUCUCUCAGCUCUCUCUCCCUUCCUCGGACUCUGGAGUGGGAGCGGGCCUUUCCCUCGGGCGGACCACACCGUAGGGGACGCCGUGAAAAGAGCCGUCGCGCCCGCCACCUCCUGCCCGCUGCGCAGAGGGCUCCGCCCGUAGAGCAAACUCGUAGCCAGACCAGAUGGGCCGCCCAGCUCUCUCGGGACUAGGCAGAUUUCGUCCCCGACAGCAGAAAAUGAUUGGCGAUGGUUCUGACGGAGAACAUGCAAUGGCGUGGUUCUUAAAAGCCUACCAUUCCUUCCUUACAAGUGCCUUAGAAGGGAUUCAGGGCGAACCAACUGGGUUAAUUGCAUUCAGUAAAAUAACACGAUUACAAAAUUAGAUCUGUACCAGAGGGGUAAUUAACUUGGAUCCACGCAGUCAUUUGAAAACUAGAUUUAUAGGCAUAUGUAUGUUUUUCAGCGUGUGCUGUAAAUGGCAUGGAGAUAUAUGCAUAUGUAUACGCAGUCACACGCAUCGUCUACACUUCCAUGGAACAGACUAAUUAACAGCGGCUCUGGCAGAUGUGGCAGAGAUGAGCGAAGACACGAGCUGGGCUUAUGAGUUAUGACUCUGGGGUAGAGACUCGGAGCGGAGGGAGGGGGAUGGGCAGGGAGAGAAGUGUGGUAGUCGCAGUGGGUCUGAUACUUUCCGGAUCAAGAUCAGAGGCUCUGCCCUCCGUGUUCACAGCGGACCUUGAUUUAAUGUCAUACAAUUAAGGCACGCGGUGAAUGCCAAGAGCGGAGCCUACGGCUGCACUUGAAGGACACCAAAGCGUCUCAGGGUCAGAAAGGGGAAAAAGCAAUUGCAGGGAAUUUAGAGGGUGGUAGGAUGAACCCAUCCCUUGCCGCAUAAAUGCCCCCCACCCCCACCCUGCACUGAUUCUAGAAGCAACCUGAUUUUCGAAAGUGAAAAUCUCCUACACUUCCGUUAGAGCCGCGGAAAUCCGCAGGCAAAUAUCUGAAGG